rnacentral:rRNA from 1 species
CUAAAAAUCUAGCCCCCCCCUUUUUUUAAGCCUUCCCCAUUAAAAUAUUUUAACAGCCCAGUAAAGAGGAUUAAAAAACUUCUAAGAGCUAUAAAUUUGUACCGCAAGGGAACAGUGAAAUAAUAAUGAAACAAACCUUAAGCACAAAAAAGUAGAGACUCACUCUCGUACCUUUUGCAUCAUGGUUUAGCUAGUCUAACUAGGCAAAAAGACCUUAAGUCUAACUUCCCGAAACUAAGUGAGCUAUUUUAGGGCUGCUUACUGAGCUAACCCGUCUAUGUUGCAAAAUAGUGGGAAGACCCUAAAAUAGAGGUGACAAAUCUAACGAACUUAGUUAUAGCUGGUUUCUCAGGAAAAGAAUUUUAGUCCAGCCUAAAGUAAAUUACAUAAUUCACACCGACACCCCCUUUAGAGUAAUUCAAAUGAGGUACAGCCCAUUUGAUACAGGAUACAACCUUCACUAACGGGUAAAAUUCAAAUUACACCUUGAAGUGGGCUUAAGGGCAGCCAUCUUUCAAAAAGCGUCAAAGCUUAACCCUGUUUUUAAAAAUUUUAAAACCCAUGUUGACCCCUUUAAUUAUACUGAGAACUUCUAUAAUACUAUAGAACCUUUUAUGCUAAAACUAAUAACAAGAGGAAACCCCCUCUCCCGAAUGCAAGUCUAAGCCAGCAAGAACCCAUCACUGGCAAUUAACACAUAUGAGUAGUAACCACCCCAGAAAACCCUACUUCCCCCCCCCCCCGUCAACCUGACACCAGAGCAUUUCAAGAAAGAUCAAAAGAAAAAGAAGGAAUUCAGCAAACACUAGUCCCGCCUGUUUACCAAAAACAUCGCCUCUUGUAAUCAUAAGAGGUCCAGCCUGCCCAGUGAUUUUAUUCAACGGCCGCGGUAUCCUAACCGUGCAAAGGUAGCGUAAUCACUUGUUUUCUAAAUAAAGACCAGUAUGAAAGGCAUCACGAGGAUUCAGCUGUCUCCUUUCUCCGAUCAGUGAACCUAAUCUCCCCGUGAAGAAGCGGGGAUCCCACUAUAAGACGAGAAGACCCUGUGGAGCUUAAAACAUCAUAACAAUUGCCACACCUUUACCCACCCCGAUGUUUCCCCUAAAACGGCAUCAUGAUUAUAUGUUUUUGGUUGGGGUGACCGCGGAGAAAAACACAUCCUCCACAAUGAAAAGGACUUCCUCCCUAAACAACAAGUUACAACUUUAUGUAUCAAAAAAUUGACACUCAUUGACCCAAUAAAUUGAUUAACGAACCAAGUUACCCCAGGGAUAACAGCACAAUCCACUUUGAGAGCCCCUAUCGACAAGUGGGCUUAUGACCUCGAUGUUGGAUCAGGAUAUCCUAGUGGUGCAGCCGCUACUAAAGGUUCGUUUGUUCAACGAUUAAAAUCCUACGUGAUCUGAGUUCAGACCGGAGUAAUCCAGGUCAGUUUCUAUCUAUAAAGAGCUAACUUCAGUACGAAAGGACCAAGAUAGCAUGGUCUAUGCCCCCUGCAAACCAUAAUUAAUUAUUUUAGACUCCCCCUUAAAAAACAAUUAACCUCCCCCUAUGCCCUAGAAAAGAGCA